UCUCGGAGGAGGCCGUCUCCAGGGGUGG
rnacentral:sRNA from 1 species